CGGUGAAUACGUUCCCGGACCUUGCACACACCGCCCGUCAAGCCAUGGAAGCCGGGUGUACCUAAAGUCGAUAACCGCUAAGGAGUCGCCUAGGGUAAACUGGUAACUGGGGCU
rnacentral:rRNA from 1 species